UACAUGGGGUGCAAACGUUGCUCGGAAUUAUUGGGCGUAAAGCGCGCGUAGGCGGUUACUCAAGUCGGAUGUGAAAGCCCUCGGCUUAACUGAGGAAGUGCACCCGAAACUGAGUAGCUAGAGUACCAAAGAGGGUCGCGGAAUUCCCGGUGUAGAGGUGAAAUUCGUAGAUAUCGGGAGGAACACCGGUGGCGAAGGCGGCGACCUGGGUGGAUACUGACGCUGAGGCGCGAAAGCUAGGGGAGCAAACGGG
rnacentral:rRNA from 1 species